AGUGAACGCUGGCGGUAGGCCUAACACAUGCAAGUCGAACGGCAGCACAGGAGAGCUUGCUCUCUGGGUGGCGAGUGGCGGACGGGUGAGGAAUACAUCGGAAUCUACUUUUUCGUGGGGGAUAACGUAGGGAAACUUACGCUAAUACCGCAUACGACCUACGGGUGAAAGCAGGGGGUCUUCGGACCUUGCGCGAUUGAAUGAGCCGAUGUCGGAUUAGCUAGUUGGCGGGGUAAAGGCCCACCAAGGCGACGAUCCGUAGCUGGUCUGAGAGGAUGAUCAGCCACACUGGAACUGAGACACGGUCCAGACUCCUACGGGAGGCAGCAGUGGGGAAUAUUGGACAAUGGGCGCAAGCCUGAUCCAGCCAUACCGCGUGGGUGAAGAAGGCCUUCGGGUUGUAAAGCCCUUUUGUUGGGAAAGAAAUCCAGCUGGUUAAUACCCGGUCGGGAUGACGGUACCCAAAGAAUAAGCACCGGCUAACUUCGUGCCAGCAGCAGCCGCAGUAA
rnacentral:rRNA from 1 species